rnacentral:lncRNA from 1 species
CCUAUGUACAGAAUCAAAAUAAUUAGCAAAUCACUACUCGAUAAUACUCGUCGUGACUCGGCAGUCGAAACUUCAUACUGUUUAUGAUAUUCUAGACAGGCGUUAAUAAUUUCCAUACAAAAGAGAAAAAGAAUGAUUACCUAUGUACAGAAUCAAAAUAAUUAGCAAAUCACUACUCGAUAAUACUCGUCGUGACUCGGCAGUCGAAACUUCAUACUGUUUAUGAUAUUCUAGACAGGCGUUAAUAAUUUCCAUACAAAAGAGAAAAAGAAUGAUUGCCUAUGUACAGAAUCAAAAUAAUUAGCAAAUCACUACUCGAUAAUACUCGUCGUGACUCGGCAGUCGAAACUUCAUACUGUUUAUGAAAUUCUAGACAGGCGUUAAUAAUUUC